ensembl:miRNA gga-mir-1609 gga-mir-1609
UGACCUGGGCAGCCAGUGAGGCUGAGGCUGUGCUGGUUGUCUUUGUGUCAGGUACAAGCUGCGCAGACCCACAGGCACUGGCUGCCUUAAAUCA